AAAAAGCAACAAAGUUUGAAGCUCUGCAGGCCAAGUACUUAAAUCUAGAAGAGAAUCUUGCCAAAGUAAAAGCAAGCCACACUCAGGUUCUUGAAGAUAUGGAAAAACUAAAUGAAGAACUUAAAAAGG